rnacentral:rRNA from 1 species
CCUACGGGAGUCAGCAGUGGGGAAUUUUGGACAAUGGGGGCAACCCUGAUCCAGCCAUGCCGCGUGAGUGAAGAAGGCCUUCGGGUUGUAAAGCUCUUUCGGACGGAAAGAAAUUGCCAUCUCUAACAUAGGUGGUGGAUGACGGUACCGUAAGAAGAAGCACCGGCUAACUACGUGCCAGCAGCCGCGGUAAUACGUAGGGUGCGAGCGUUAAUCGGAAUUACUGGGCGUAAAGCGUGCGCAGGCGGUUUGGUAAGACAGGCGUAAAAUCCCCGGGCUUAACCUGGGAACUGCGCUUGUGACGGCAAGGCUAGAGUGCGGCAGAGGGGGGUAAAAUUCCACGUGUAGCAGUAAAAUGCGUAGAGGUGUGGAGGAAUACCGAUGGCGAAGGCAGCCCCCUGGGUCGACACUGACGCUCAUGCACGAAAGCGUGGGGAGCAAACAGGAUUAGAUACCCUUGUAGU